ensembl:lncRNA
CCCAAGCUUGCUCAGUGUAAUCUAAUGGGAGCUGUAGUUUGAAUCUCUGCACGGCAUUUUCUGCUGCUUUUGUGAACUGGCAGGGCGGGAGGCAAUUACCGCCACUCAGCCAGCCAUGUACCAGAGGAACUGAGGCUGCAGAAUGGGCCAGCACUCUUUAUUUUGGAUUGAGCAGGAACGACACAAUCCGCCGAGGGGACAUGGUGUCCACGUUUCAAUGCACCAACACACACGCAUGCAGAGGCACACCUACUGUGCACUCAGCCAGCCAUGUGUAUGUACCCACCAUACAGGGACAAAUGAUGACUGUGAAGCCAACUUCAACCUACACUUCCAAAAAAACUGUAAAAAGACAAGGUCAGUAUAUAAAACACCGAUAGACAUGCGAAUGCGCUGAAAAGCAGCAUAAUAAUAGUUACUCUUUUAUUUUAAAAAACAGAUAAUUUCUAAAAAAAAAACAAAACAAAAAAAACUACAAAGAAAAACAUUCUCUGUAAACACACAAGCUAAUUUAUCUCUUUCUCUUCAAAAUUAAGUUGUCACAACUACCAUCUAUUCUAGCUCCAUGAAAAUAAUCAGAGGAAGUCUGAAAAAGAAAUGUUUUUUUUUUUUCACAAGAGAGAAUGUUAAAAAGUAUGACUCAUAAAAAUGCACCUGAACAACCUAAAGCACAGCCAUAAUCACCAUCGAAUGCUACUGAGCUCAAUUAUGAGAGGUUAGCGAGGGCAUUAUUUGUCUGUCAGUGUGCCUCUAAUAUGAAACUACUGUAUGAUCAUUUCAAAAAACAGUUUUAUUUAGCAUGAGAAUGAUUAAUUCGAAAACAAGCAAGCAAAUUACCUAAUAUUAAAAAAAUACUCAAUUUUCACUGGUGUUCAGUGGUAGGGGCAGCAAAUUAUUGCUAUACUGUUCUCUGUGGGCAGAAACUGGCCCAACCUUAAAAAAUGCUGCCAAGGCUGCUGCUUUGUUCUUUACCAUUAGAAAACUGCUACCAUCUCCAAGCAGUUAUCUAUUUUUACAGCCACAGUCCCGUAU